AAAGUACAUGUGUGAAUUUUAUCAAAUGGAAGAAAAAAUUGUUUGUUUUUUUAAAGAAUCUCCCAUGGCAGGAGAGAUACAAUGUUAUAGAAAGAGCAGAUCCAUAGUUUUUCCUAAUGAACUGGAAGACAGUCUUGGGGUAGCACUGGGACUUGAAGAGAACCCACUGGAGCCUGGGAGGGGCGGGGCUGAGGAGAGUGUCGCUGGAAGGAUCUCCUCCCUGUGUCAGUCCAGCCACCGCCUUUAGGAGCAGUGAAGUGACCUUGGAAAUCUGGUUUAAACCAUGUUCUGUUUGCACUGUGAUCCCCUCAGUGACUUGCCCUACCCCCACUCUGCACAAUCCAGGACUUCAGGAAAACUUAAUUCUUCACAUUUCAGUGACUUUUUAAUAAUUGUACAUGUCAUGCUUUAAGUAUUUUCAAUCUUGUAUAUUAAAAAAAAUAAAUCCCCUUCCUUGGAAGAAAUCACACCAGUUGGAUGUAGUCAUCUUGGAAGAGAGUGAUUCCUCAUAAUUCUCUCUCCGCUGAAGCUGUGCUUGGACAAGGUAUUUCUUCCCUGCCGAGCACAGAAUCCUUUGGAUUAGAAGUAUUUUUUUUUCUUCCAGUUAAGAAUCAGCUCCAAGUGGAUAUUACUUCAGGAUUGUGCACUGAUUCUUAUCCCCAUCGCAGAUCCUGGGGCCAGGGACCCAGCCUGAGGAGCCUCAAGGCCAACUUCAGGAAACUUCUCCUAACACCUGGAGGGAUGGCUCUGGGAGGGAGGCUGGUGGAGGUAGCAUUGGGAAGCCCAUGUACCCUCCUUUUCCUGGAGCUGCCUCCUUGGGCUGGGAGGGGUGUACUCCCAGUCUAAUAGACUUGAGACUUUUUGGAUUCGAGGUUUCCCCAAAGGGAAGGAGCAGAAGUAGGAAGGGAGACACCAGCCCAUCUCCCCUCCUGGGCACUGGCUGGGACAUGCUAAGUCUGGGCUCCACUUCCCUCUCCAUCUCCCACUCCUAGAAUAACUGAAAUUUCUCAAUAUGCCCUAUGCCUUUGAGUCUCUUGGUCUCUGUCCUGCUGAAAAGAAAAUUCCAGAGACCUUGUCUGUGUUACAUGACACUAAUGAUCAGUGACUACAAUAGUGUCUGGCACAGUUUGGUAAACAGCAUGCAUGAAUGCCCCAAAGGACUUUUCCACAGCUCUACCUACAUUUCAAGAAGACUCCCCUGACCAGUGGUCACUACAGUCCCUGGCAUCUCAGGACACGGUUCCCGGUGUUGGCGGCCUCCACCCAGUGGUGCACCAGAGCUGGCCCAAACCUCCUGGAGAGCUGCCUGGAGUGUGCCCAUCUCUUCCCAACUUCUCUCGAGGGGCUGGCCCUGGACAUUUGUGCUGCACUGCAUGACACCCCUGUUGGUCCCAUAGAAACCAAGGUGAAGGACCUGAAAAGGGCACAGCCAGGAGGGCAGGUGGUCUUUCCAGCUGAACCAUGACCCCAACAGCCUCUGUUCAUCCUGGGGUUGUGGGUGACCAUGAGGGUCCCUGUGUGCCAUAUCAGGAGUUCGGGUCAGACCCUCCAAUGCAGCCCCUAAAGGCAUCCAGCCCUCCUCCUGCACUGGUUCCAUCACAGGGGACCGGGCCUGCCUGUGACUAUAGAAUGACCCCCGGCUCUGGGCCUCAGGCCUUUGUAAAAUCAGCGGAGUCGUCUAGAGAAGACCUUCCUAAAGUGGGGCUCAUGAAUCUCAUGGCCAGCACGGAAUUUGAGAGAAAAAAACGACCUUGGGCUCAUUUUCCCCAGAAGCGGACCCUGAGACAAAGAUGUGGGGAACUUGUCCAAAAAAUGACAUGAAGCUCAAAAAGGCAAAGGAGCCGGGAAUGUCCUGGAAAAGAAAAGUAAUACGGUGGGGCUAGACCUAUCAGAUGACAAAACACAUUAUGAAAUUUUAUAAUUUGUACAGCAAUUUGGUACCCAGAGAUGAAACAGACAACCCAGUGGACCAGAAUAGAAAACCAGAUA